UUUCUUGGGCUGCUCCUGCGGCAUAUGGAGGUUCCCAGGCUAGGGGUUGAAUCGGAGCUGUAGCUGCCAGCUUACGCCAGAGCCACAGCAACGUAGGAUCCGAGCCGCGUCUGCGACCUACACCACAGCUCACGGCAACGCCAGAACCUUGACCCACUAAGCAAGGGCAGGGAUUGAACCCGCAACCUCAUGGUUCCUAGUCGGAUUCGUUAACCACUGCGCCACGACGGGAACUCCUAAACUAUUAUUUCUUAAUAACGCAAAUAGCUAUUAAUCUCCUUAAGAAGAAGAAAAUAAAGAUCUUUUCCACGUACGCAAAAGAGACUGCACCGGUUUCUCCAUGUUUGGAUGGGGAGCAGAUAAGACAGUUUUAUUGAAACGAAUUUCCUAGAAUUUCAUGGUGGGAACUUUGGGAACAGAAAGAAUGUCGAUGGUGAAGGGGAAGGACAAAAUGUGUCUUUAAUGUAAUGUUUUAUUGUUAUAAUGACACUUUGAAUUCAAGAUUACCUCUGUUGGAAAGAAUAUGAAACAUUUCACACACAGUAUUGCAAACCUCAAGAAUCCAGGUAUCUUUACUUCAAAAGUUAUUGUUACUUUAAAGUUGGGAAGAGUGGAUUCAACAGAAGAAUCUUCCCCCCAGCGCAGAACUUUGGAGGAGAGCCAGCACAGUUAUAUUGCUAUUCCAGAGUUUCUGCAUUUCCACAGAUCUCAGACGAGACCAAACAAUAUGUUUUGUGCUACACUUGAAGCAAGGAGGCAGCCAGGUUGUAUUUAACCCAACAAAUAAAGUAAAAGUUGAUGGAGUGUCUCCUACGUAUAAAGAAUAUGAAAGGCACAGGCCUUGUUCUCAAGGAAUUUAUAACUUAGUGAAGGGGUCAGACAUGUAAACUAAAUUUCCUGGGAAGCACUGUUAAAUGAAAGCAUUGCGAAAGGAGCAUUGACAACGAGUUGUGGAGGCAUCAUGGGGAGGGGCUGCUCUGGAUGGGGGCUGCUUAGGACAAUCAGAAGGAGAAAGACCCAACAGUAGGAUCAGGCCACUUCCCUAGGAGGCACCAGGGAACCCUUCUGAUUGGUGGAGAUUUCUUCUAAGUUCUGAGAUGAAACCUACCUAUCCAGGUAUCUGUAGGUAUCCACCAUGUGUUUCCAGCUUUAUCUUCUAAAGCAAUGCAAAUUAUUAUUAUUAUUAUUUUUGUCUUUUUAGGGCUGCACUCGCUACACAUGGAGGUUCCCAGGCUACGGGCCAAAUUGAAGCUGUAGUCACUGGCCUACGCGACAGCCACAGCAAGGCCAGAUCUGAGCUUUGUCUGCAACCUACACCACAGCUCACAGCAAUGCCAGCUCCUUAGUCCACUGAGCAAGGCCAGGGAUCGAACCUGCGACCCAUGGAUACUAGUCAGAUUUGUUUCCACUGAGCCAGGACAGGAACUCCGCAAUGCAAAUCAUUUUAAUCCCUCUCAUAUGUGCCUGCCUUCACAAUUCUAAAUCUGGAUGACAUUUCUUUCCCUUUUCCCAUGCUGCCCACCUCCCCCCUACUGCCCCCGAGUCCUUUGCCUUCUCCCAUUUCUGUUAGAUACACCAAUUUCUUCAACUCUUUCACCUGUGUCACGAAUCCCAAAUCCUUCACUAUCUGGGCCUUCUUCUCUUGACACACUCCACGUUAUUCACAUCCAUCCUUGAAAUUGGCAUUGAAAAGGGAACACAAUACUUUAGAUACGGGUUGACCGGUGGGGUCAUUUUCUUCCUUUGUUAUCCAUCCAUCCCUCUGUUUAUCCAUCCAACCACCUAUCCAAAGGACACUUAAAUAAGCUUCUGUGACAUGAGGCAUUGAUUGUUCUAGUUACUACUGGGGAUAAAAAGAUGGAAAACUUCCAUGAAGCGCAAGUCAAGGGAGAUGACGUUUGGAGGAAACCAUUCUACCACCACCACCUAAGAUUUUGUUAGUCAUCUGCCAUCUAUUGAUUAUGCAGUUAGCAUCUACCGAGUUUGUGGACCCCCAAACAUCUAACAGCAUCUUACAAAACUUAUGCUUAAACAGAUUGCUCUCGUUCAAUGCUUUAGCAUUGAACCAUCCAGCAACGAUCAGAAUUUUCCACUGAUUUUGGCCUUUGAAAUGUCAGCCCAUUGUUUCAGUUUUUUGAGAUAUUUUGGGACUCUAGACCCUGUUCUCCAACAUCAAGCCUUUCCUUUUAGUUCUAGUCUGCCUGCAAACGCGAAUAGCUUGGCCCAGAACCCUGGAGACAUGGAGCCAGCUUUGAAUUGAGCCAGCUUUGAAUCCACCCAGCUCUAGGAGGAGAAAGGCCUCAGUUCUUUAUCUUGGCCAUCACAGAGAUCAUUUUUGGACAAAUGUGAUAUUGAAAUCAAGAUACAGUGUCCCCAAGGAAUUUUUUUAAACCAAUUUACUAGUAUAAAUGCUAAAUAAAUAAAUGCAUUAAUAAAAAGUAGAACUGAGUACCAGGCCUUAUCCAACCCCAUGUUUACAGAGAGAUCAAUCCGCUAAUGUGGAAAUUGGCAGCUCCAGGAGGUUUGGGAAGAAGCAUCUCCCUGUUCAACUCAGAGAUACUAAAUCAGCGGAUUAGGUCUCCAAACUGUCUCUGGGGCUAGAGAGAAUAGCAGUGCUCUUUAUGAGCAUCUUGGAUUUCUACUUUUAAAAUGAAAUCCACUGGGUCCUAUCAGUCUGUGGUUUGUCUGCUCUGGUUUUAGCCAACCCGAGAUGGGGUUGCAUCGUGAUUGGUUACAACAGUCUGCUCUUUGGAAGGGGGACCCCACUGACCCCUGACCACAGCCGGUCAUACAGGGAGCGUCAGAGGCGGACCAAUUACCUAAGAGGAUGUAGAAAAAUCAAACAGAGGCUGGGUACAAUGAAGGGAAAAAACACACAGCAGGCCCAGCUUUAGUUCCACCGCUUGAAUUACCACUAUGUCAAUAGAAGGUGAUAAAUCAAGGGAGAUAUUUACUGAUUAAAAUUACAGACUCCUACGGGAAACUGUAUAAACAGAUUGGAGAACAAAGCCUUCAGGGACUGAGCCCAGCCGAAUCCAUCCAGGCUUUGGCCAGUCGUUUCUGUCUCUGGCCAACUCUUGGACCCAGGGGUCAUGGAGAGAGCAAGUUGCUCCACAAAAUCAGACUUAAAGAUCAAGAACACCUCUUCAUGCCCUGUAUGCCAGUGGAGGCCCUGAGGCUACAGAUGCUGAAGAGAGGACAUAGGAGACAUGAGUGGGCAUGAAGCCCACUCCCGUGGGGAGGGUGGAGGGUGGUAAACGUUGCCAAUAAGCUUUUUCUGCCAAACUACCUUGCCCACCCUUUCUGGUGUGUCCAUGUCAGUGUUGCCAGGGCAACCAAAGCUUUGCUCUGCCAUGCCGGUCUCUCCAGGUGCAUUGCAUGGUCAAGGUCAUUCUGCUUCUUUAUAUGGUGAUCUUUUUGAGUGAGGGAAAGGCUUUUGGGGGUUUCUGGAGCAAUUUGUGAAAGGAGGACUUAAAGCAAGUUUGCAGUUUUGUUUUCAGAGCCCUGGAUGUUUUUUUUUACACCAGCUCUGCCUUGUGGGAGUAAGGCAGCAAACCUCUCUGUUCUGAUAGAGGCAGCACAGGUUUCUGUCUGAUGGAUGAGGAAGCCCUGGGGAAGGGAGGGGGGCUAUUUGGCAUCAGUAUUGGCUCCAUUAUCUAAGUGUGGUCUCUGGGUGAAAUUCUGACCUCCCAACCCAAGUUCCAUUCCUUCCCUUUUGUGUCCUUGGCCAUGAUACUGCAGUCAUCACUCAAAGGGGAUUGGGCAAAAAUGUUCUGGGAUAUAUAGGCUCUGAUGCCUGGGAGGAGGGAGGCAGGCCUCUCUACAAGGUCAAAGUCACAGCGGUGUGUUAGAGGCACAACUCCUAUUAGGGCCACCAUGCAUGGUUGGGUUGGGGGUUUUGCAGAUUUUGUAAAGGUGCCUGGCUGAGGGGACAAUUGUGGGCUGAAACCAGCUGAUGUUCUACUUGCCAAGCUGCCUCACGGCUUGCCCUGAUACACGGCAGUGUCCACUUGGAAGGAAGAUAACUUUUUCUCCAUCCCCAGGAAAAGCUGGUCCUUGAGGCAUGCAGCCCACAGGCUUUGUCUCCCCAGUUGGGGCACCUUUUCCUAAUGGUCCCUCUAGAAGGAGUGUCUUUUUCUAAAUAGCAGGAAGGUACAGAACAGACUGGACAAGGCCCUGAUUCUUCUGGCCUUUUCCUCGGAGCUGAGAGGAAGACGAGGUGAAAAAGAUCCCAGUGAGGGCAUCAAGAAGCUCAUACUUGGCCUUUUAAAAGGCAACGGUGGAUAACAAAACGCCUGAAUAAUCACCCUGGCUCGCUCUUCGUUCUUUUGCAACCGGGUUACAGUAAAGGGAGGCAAACGUUCCUAUGUUUGUUUUUCCCUCCCCGCAGGAAUUGGUUAAGCAUCCUCUGAGUGACCUCCUGUCCUGGGGUGUCACCGAGCCCAUCUCAUCAUCGGCCUCCAGAGAUGCUUGAUGUUACUGCUCAGGCAUCGUAUACUGUCUUAACUUCCAGAAAACUUGGAGACAUCCCUUUCAUUUUGUUUUAUUUUUUCUUUUAAGGAAGUGAUGUUUAGAGCUGUCGCGCUUGGCUGCUCUGCCCCUUGGAGCCUCCUCUAAAGGGUUUCCUUAUCUCUCAAUGGACGUACGUUUUGGAGAUGGGGAGAAAUUAAUUCCCAUUUCCCAGGCUGAGAAGGUGAAGUUGGUGAGUGCUCUGAUCUCGUUCUUCUGCUCUCCUUGAUGAAAAAUCUCUCUUUGCCCUGGAAUAUCAUGGCCUGGAAGUCUUUAAAUUAAAAACAGUUGUGAAACGGGCAGCAAUUUAGAACUUACACCAGGGCAUGAAUCUGUAAAGAGCAAGGCCUCGGGAUGCAGGUCAUGUGUCUCCAACGAGGCCUGUUUUGUGUCCCUGGUGUGCACUAAGCUGCUUCUUCUCCCUCAAAGAGGGAACGUCAGUCCUCUUGGGCUGUUCCCCACCCUCCCUUCUGACUUAACUUCCCCCCUGGUCCCACGUCCGGGCUUCUAGGAUUUGCCACCGGCACGGUGGGGCCAACAGGCCUGGUGCUUCUUCGGGGUCUGGUGUCCUACUGGGGGCCGACACCUCUCAAGAACACAGGGGGACCAAGAGACAGCGAGGCAAGGGCGAGAGGCGACCAUACAGCCACAGAAGAAGCCCUUGCAGACACUGUGAAUCUGGGCCUGCAAAACCAGACGCCGUUUUAAAGAAGAUAUUUUGGUCAAUUUCCAGAGAAGGUAGCAGAAAUGCCAGGCAAUAAAACAGUGAGUUGAGGAUGGGCCAGUAAACCUCCUCCUUAGUGUUUAUGGCCUGGCUGCUUUGAAAGCAGGAGACACCAUCUCCAGUGGGUUUGGUCGGAGGAAGGAGUGGUGUUGAGGCUGGGGGGCUGGUGGGCGGUUAAGACCCUGACUGUUUUUUCCUCACGAAAGUCUUCCUACUGUCACUUUCUCUAGCACGGCGGCUCCUCUAGAGUGAUGUUCUCGCUCCAAAGAUCCCAGAAUAUCCUGUUAUCUGGCUGCUUUCAUCAACAAGUCAAAUCCACCUAUAAGGACCAGGCAGCCCUGGGAUCCAAGAUCGCAUAAUACUAUUCGGCAGAAAAAGAAUUAUCACAUCAAUCUGGAAAUAUAAUUGUUCCCUGAGCCACAUUCAGAAUUGUAUUCAGUUAUGUUCCACAGGUUAUCAUGACAGUCCCUGGUGGCCUGGCUCCUGCGUGUGGUAGGAGGGGCUGGGGCUGGCAGGUGUGGUGGGACCAGCGCUCCUAACUUUACAUGCCACGUUCAGAGAUUUGCCCUGUCUCUGUCAGAGAGUUGAUGUUUUAGAGCCAGGGGAUACUUGGGCAGAGCUACAGAUGGGAAGAGCCGUAGGAGAA
rnacentral:lncRNA from 1 species